rnacentral:tRNA from 1 species
GAAAAUCCGUCGAAUUAAAAAAUCGUGAGGGUUCAAGUCCCUCUAUCCCCA